GCUUCUUGGGCAUUAAAGUAUUACAGACGUUAUUCUGCAACAGUGAGUGCAGCGCCGUACGUUAGCACCAGGACACGUCGCUAGAGGAUUUCCCGAUGAUGCAAAUUCAUCAUUUUGCAUUUGAUUGGCAUUGGAGAAAUCCAAAAGCUACCACAAAGCUUCUCUGCAUGCAUAAAUUUGCUUAUCGUGAAGACGCUUGCAAGGAUGCAGCGGGAGCAGAUCAUUUGGAGAGAUAGGAUGCGACAAAUUGGUCUUUCUAUGCAUUUUGGUUUGCUUGUAACCGUGUUUGCAUUAGCUGGGAAUAAGUGACUUGGCAAGAACUGUAGGUGUCUGGAUAUGCUCUAAUGCUCCUGGUUUACUAUAAAUCUUGGAUUUGUAAUGAUGUGUAAUGCAUAAAAUGGAAUUUGGGGAUUUUAAUUU
rnacentral:rRNA from 1 species